CUGGUUGAUCCUGCCAGUAGUCAUAUGCUUGUCUCAAAGAUUAAACCAUGCAUGUGUAAGUAUGAACGAAUUCAGGCUGUGAAACUGCGAAUGGCUUGUUAAAUCAGUUAUAGUUUGUUUGAUGGUAACUACUACUCGGAUAAACAUAGUAAUUCUAGAGCUAAUACGUGCAACAAACCCCCGACUUCUGGAAGGGAUGCAUUUAUUAGAUAAAAGGUCGACGCGGGCUCUGUGAAAGGCCCCUUCCUAGUUUCCCUUACCGCCGGUUCGUCCUCAGUUCGCUUGCCCCGACCCAAAACGUCCCUUUAUGAAAUAUUCCCUUUACUUACGAUUUUUAACCAGCUUUCCUCUAAGAGGUUCAGUUCAGUACACACGGUUCGCUAAGUCUAUUCCAGCAACUUAGCAGUCUACUAGUAAUAGCAGCAUAAUAAACAUGUACC
rfam:Brassica napus, WGS project CCCW01000000 data, contig: 26595